UGGCGGCAGCUAAUACAUGCAAGUCGAGCGGACAGAAGGGAGCUUGCUCCCGGAUGUUAGCGGCGGACGGGUGAGUAACACGUGGGUAACCUGCCUGUAAGACUGGGAUAACUCCGGGAAACCGGAGCUAAUACCGGAUAGUUCCUUGAACCGCAUGGUUCAAGGAUGAAAGACGGUUUCGGCUGUCACUUACAGAUGGACCCGCGGCGCAUUAGCUAGUUGGUGAGGUAACGGCUCACCAAGGCGACGAUGCGUAGCCGACCUGAGAGGGUGAUCGGCCACACUGGGACUGAGACACGGCCCAGACUCCUACGGGAGGCAGCAGUAGGGAAUCUUCCGCAAUGGACGAAAGUCUGACGGAGCAACGCCGCGUGAGUGAUGAAGGUUUUCGGAUCGUAAAGCUCUGUUGUUAGGGAAGAACAAGUGCAAGAGUAACUGCUUGCACCUUGACGGUACCUAACCAGAAAGCCACGGCUAACUACGUGCCAGCAGCCGCGGUAAUACGUAGGUGGCAAGCGUUGUCCGGAAUUAUUGGGCGUAAAGGGCUCGCAGGCGGUUUCUUAAGUCUGAUGUGAAAGCCCCCGGCUCAACCGGGGAGGGUCAUUGGAAAACUGGGAAACUUGAGUGCAGAAGAGGAGAGU
rnacentral:rRNA from 1 species